rnacentral:tRNA from 1 species
GCUGCCUUAGCUCAGUCUGGUAGAGCAGCUGACUUGUAAUCAGCAGGUCGUGGGUUCGAGGCCUACAGGCAGCA